CCUACGGGUGGCAGCAGUGGGGAAUAUUGGACAAUGGGCGAAAGCCUGAUCCAGCCAUGCCGCGUGUGUGAAGAAGGCCUUCGGGUUGUAAAGCACUUUCAGUGGGGAAGAAAGCCUUGGGGCUAAUACCCUCGAGGAAGGACAUCACCCACAGAAGAAGCACCGGCUAACUCCGUGCCAGCAGCCGCGGUAAUACGGAGGGUGCGAGCGUUAAUCGGAAUUACUGGGCGUAAAGCGCGCGUAGGCGGUCUGAUAAGCCGGUUGUGAAAGCCCCGGGCUCAACCUGGGAACGGCAUCCGGAACUGUCAGGCUAGAGUGCAGGAGAGGAAGGUAGAAUUCCCGGUGUAGCGGUGAAAUGCGUAGAGAUCGGGAGGAAUACCAGUGGCGAAGGCGGCCUUCUGGACUGACACUGACGCUGAGGUGCGAAAGCGUGGGUAGCAAACAGGAUUAGAUACCUUAGUAGUC
rnacentral:rRNA from 1 species